rnacentral:lncRNA from 1 species
CAACUACAGCCUAUGCAGGCGAAUCAUGCGCUUGUGCCGAGCUGAUCCAAGGUGGUGCAUCUGCAUCAGAGGACUGUUUUUGUUCGAUUUGUGGAACCUAGCUUGCGAUGUAGAAAAAAAAAAGGAUGGCUACAUCUGCUACAUAUCCUCCUGUGUUUUAACUUGAGCCUCUUGUGGUUUCAGCAUGAAAAGCAGGUGAAUGAGAAGCUGCACAACCCGCACACUGUAAGUUGCUCCUUCAUGCCUAUGCAGAACAAGUUACUGUGAAAGAGAAGUGUAUGCACGUUCUUUGUACAAAGCUCAGUUGUACCUUAAUCUGGGAAGUAGGAUGACCCCGACUAUACCAAGUUUGACCAAAUUUGUUGGUGAAUUAGUUUGUUUUGCCCUGAUUUUUGCGUGGUGGCAGUAUAUCUGAGCCUGGAAUGCAUAUAUCCAGUGCAGAGAAGAUCAGUUUGCUGUAUGAAAUUUUCUAAGCAUUUCAUUUUCUUUAUUCUUAGUUUUUAUAUGAUGUCGUGCAGCAGAAAACUGGUUAUGAAUUUGUUAAAAAGUAUGAAUUUUUCAUCUAAAAUUCUUGGCAGCUACCCUUCAUGAUUAUUUUUCUUCAUGCAGUAAACGCCUAGGUGAAGCAUCAAAAUUCAAUAUAACUAGUUCUGGACAUGGACAAGGGCUUCAUUUGAUCUUUUGUUGCUCUCAAGCCAUAUUUUCCCUGUGUGUCUCUUUGUGCAGGUACUUGAAAAAAAUAAAAAUACACAACUUGUCCAAAUGUUCCUCUAUCACCAUAGCCUAAAUUAAUAUGUCCAAAUGUUCCUCUAUCACCAUAGCCUAAAUUAAUAUAUAGGAAUUUAAUUUAAUCUUUUAUUCCUGUUGGGUUCACAUGUAAUGUAUUCAGCUAUAAUACACCAGUGAAUUAGACAUAUCAUCUUUUAUGCUGAAUCAGCACCACUGCAUUAUGUAGCUAUGUUCACCACAGGUUAUGAGUUUGUUUUUUGUAUUACUUUAACAGCAUGUUAAUUUUUCACAAAUCUCCUGCUUCAGCUAUAGAUUUCUUUGUACAACAUGCGCAAAUUAUUGAUCUUAUUCCGAAGUCUUAUUCUGCGGUGUUUAACUGCAGGCUGAGUUCAAUUUGUUUUUGUGCCAGAAACGGAACAGGUAGUGCUCUAACCUCAGCAGCAUAUGGUCUAAAUUUCAUACUUAGGGUCAUUCAAAUAUCUGGAAUAUUAGUCCUGAGUCAAGGUAAUUUUCCUCAUCCCUUUAAUGUAUCAUGGAAAUUUACGUCCACCUUUGUGCUUGCUUGUUAAAAAUUGCUCAUUUGGUUCUUUGUUCAGAUUUACGAUUAUUACGAUUUACUACUUCACCAUAGAUUUACAACAACAAUAUUUGUUUUGUUCUAGAUCAACUGUUACGGGAAUACAUUAUUCCCGAAGUUCUUUUAGAUGUAUUGGUCAUGGCACUGUUUUUUUUUCUGCUUUUGUAGUUGAAGGGUUAGUUACACUCUGAUUUUGUAGCAUUUGUUCCAUGUGAGAGAGAUUGUAUAUUGUUGUCAUCCUGAAACAAUGCUGGAGCUCUAAAGAAAAAGCUAGCAGAGUACUCCAUGGUUAUAGGUUGUACAAAUAGUAUGGUAAUGUUGCAUUCACUGUAGGAUGACCAAGAUGCACCAAAUUUGAGAAACUCGUGAGGUGAAUUAAUUGGUGCUUAACCUAAUUUCACUUGGCCGCCCAGCAACUUCCUUUUUGUGUAAAUGGUGCAUCUGUAUAUGAAAUGGUUAUGUAUUUUGAUUUUUGUCAUCUAAUUUUUUAGAAGAGUUGUGAUAGAUUCUAAGCAGUUGCAGUUCAUGAUUUUCCUCUUUAAUAUCCAUGUCAUUCAGUCAAGAUAGUGCGCAAAGUUUCUGGUUGUUUUUAUUUCUCCAGGCAGUGAAAACAUGUUGAUUUCUUGACCACAUCAAGUGAUACAUGCUAUGUUAAGUGUUUAAAUAUUUUUUGCUCAUUUUUUCCGCAGACCAGCACAAUGGAAUGAACUUUACAACAUUUAGUUAGCAUAUUAUAUAUUUUCCGAGGGAAAAUGGCAGGCGCUCUGCCUUUGUUAUAGAUUAUGAAUGUACAAGAGGAGAACACAAUGGAGAAAGAGAGGGAGGAAGCAAAGGAAAACGAAGAAGCAGUCACCCCAGGCGCUGCCUGUACAUGGAUGUUCAGCU